rnacentral:rRNA from 1 species
AUUGAACGCUGGCGGCGUGCUUAACACAUGCAAGUCGAACGCGAAAGGGGCUUCGGCCCUGAGUAAAGUGGCGCACGGGUGAGUAACGCGUGGAUAAUCUGCCCUUAUGAUCGGGAUAACAGUUGGAAACGGCUGCUAAUACCGGAUACGCUCAAAAUGAACUUUUUGAGGAAAGAUGGCCUCUGCUUGCAUGCUAUCGCAUAGGGAUGAGUCCGCGUCCCAUUAGCUUGUUGGCGGGGUAACGGCCCACCAAGGCAACGAUGGGUAGCCGAUUUGAGAGGAUGAUCGGCCACACUGGAACUGAAACACGGUCCAGACUCCUACGGGAGGCAGCAGUGGGGAAUAUUGCGCAAUGGGCGAAAGCCUGACGCAGCGACGCCGCGUGAGGGAUGAAAGGUUUUCGGAUCGUAAACCUCUGUCAGAAGGGAAGAAACUACGUUGUGCUAAUCAGCAGCGUACUGACGGUACCUUCAAAGGAAGCACCGGCUAACUCCGUGCCAGCAGCAGC